UGUGAAAAUGAUGAUCGAAGGGAUCUGAAAUUACCUGAAGUAAAUAUGCCAUCCAUUUACUGAUUCACA